GAUAACUGGUGGACAUGAAGACUGAAACAACUCCGAGUGUGUGCUUGUUUGGCAUGAGCUUCUUCUUCUUUCGUUAAUGAGACUAGAGUUUAGUAACAGCACUAUAUUU